rnacentral:rRNA from 1 species
GUGUGACUGCGUACCUUUUGUAUAAUGGGUCAGCGACUUAUAUUCUGUAGCAAGGUUAACCGAAUAGGGGAGCCGAAGGGAAACCGAGUCUUAACUGGGCGUUAAGUUGCAGGGUAUAGACCCGAAACCCGGUGAUCUAGCCAUGGGCAGGUUGAAGGUUGGGUAACACUAACUGGAGGACCGAACCGACUAAUGUUGAAAAAUUAGCGGAUGACUUGUGGCUGGGGGUGAAAGGCCAAUCAAACCGGGAGAUAGCUGGUUCUCCCCGAAAGCUAUUUAGGUAGCGCCUCGUGAAUUCAUCUCCGGGGGUAGAGCACUGUUUCGGCAAGGGGGUCAUCCCGACUUACCAACCCGAUGCAAACUGCGAAUACCGGAGAAUGUUAUCACGGGAGACACACGGCGGGUGCUAACGUCCGUCGUGAAGAGGGAAACAACCCAGACCGCCAGCUAAGGUCCCAAAGUCAUGGUUAAGUGGGAAACGAUGUGGGAAGGCCCAGACAGCCAGGAUGUUGGCUUAGAAGCAGCCAUCAUUUAAAGAAAGCGUAAUAGCUCACUGGUCGAGUCGGCCUGCGCGGAAGAUGUAACGGGGCUAAACCAUGCACCGAAGCUGCGGCAGCGACGCUGAUGCGUUGUUGGGUAGGGGAGCGUUCUGUAAGCCUGCGA